ensembl:lncRNA
CAGAUUCCGGGACCCUCGUUCCCUCCGCUGUCACCAGGCCCAGGUGGGUUUCCAGGUGUGUGUGCGGCCGGGAUCCUACAAGGUGGGGCCCCAGACCCUGGGGGUCAGCGAGCCCCUGGACCCCCGCUUCAGCAACGCUGAGAUCGAGUGGCUGAUCAAGGAGAAGGGCUGCACCGUCCUCUACGGUCUUCUCGUACGGGUGGAGUGAUGGAGGGAUGACCAGAGGAAUGGAUGGAGAUGGAGGAGAGGGGAAUAGGUCCUAUUCCGCUGGUGCCUCUACAACCUCCACUCUGUCAACCCAUUUCCAGACUUUGAGACACUUUGGAGUUUUGGGAAAAUCCCUCCUGUUCCUGUGAGGAUUGUUGACAUUAACAAAUGAGCGGUUCCCCCCCCCUUCGUUUUGGACAAAGUCCGUUUGUUGAUUUGACUCUGUAAGGAGAGCGUGGAUUCAAAGGAAAACAAGACGGACACUGCCUGCACUUUAUGUUUGGGACACUUCGUAGGCGAUUUUUAAUCAACUUUUCAUGCAAAAUGCAACACUUCUUUGGUAACCACCGUGUUUCUGUUAGCACCGUCUCCCUCCCUCUCUUGUCCCGUCUCGUCUCUAGCUCUAGUUUUUAUCACCCCUUUACCUCAGACCCAUCACUCACUUUUGGUUUUGAAGCACAGGGGUGUUGGUUCUUCUCAGUUCUCCUGUGAAAAGGCAAAAAGUGCACAACCGGCGACGUUGCAUUUCAAGACUUGGACCGUUUGUUGAACCACCUCGCAGCGGCGACCACCAUCGACACCCACCAUCGCCUGUAGCGCAGCACUGUCACUGAAUUUCACUUUUUAAAACUAGACUUAACCACGGGUCAGAAUUAGAAGAGCGAUGGAUCAAAGAAUGACCCAAAAGUUAAAAAAAUGAGAAUAAUGGAGGGGGGGGGUGUAACUAAUCAGGAUAAUGUCCUGAUAGCAUCUGUAGAAGGUUUAGAGGAAUUAACUUGGACUGGAGAAAAAUGUUUACAGGUGUAACACUAACACUGUCUGUCUACAUGUGUCCUGUCUCAGACUCUUCCUCUCCAUCUCUCAUCCAUUCACCACUGUCUGUUCUCUUUGUCAGUGGGAAGCACUUCUCCAAGGGCACUGUCCUCCCAAGAACAGGCCACGUUGCAGCUAGAGUACAGAUAUGUACAUGUUCUGGUUCCGAAAAAAAAAGAGUAGUCUACCCUUUGGUCUGUGUUUUGCCAGCGAAGCAGGCUGCAUCCAGCGUCCUCUCCUCGGACCUGGUCUCCUUUUUCGACAUCUGCACUAAUCUGAAGACAUAGUUAAUUAACAUAGAAUGGAGGAACAUUUCUGGGAAUGUACUUUCACGUCACAUUUCAAUUUCUUCAGAUCAGGGCAGGCGGAAGGAAGGAAAGUGGAUUGACUGGAGGACGAACACCGGCGAGAUGUUGAAUGUUAUUUUAACGGGUCAGUUUGGCCAUUGAGCUUCUCCCUGAUUCUCCCCCAUCACUGCUACGUCCCGGUGUGGCGUGCCAAAGUCUCUGGGAUUCUACUCGUUGUAGAGAGGGAGUACCAGGGAUGUGUUCAGCGGGGAGAAAAACGUUUCCAAACAGGGAUUGGUUCGACUGCAAACCUGUCCAACAAGAGCGCAGAUUUCCGUUUUCCUUAGCAAAAAUAUCACGCUACGGUGUGCCUUACUGAACAUUUUCCUGACGCAUAAAAGGCCCCAGUUCGAUUCGGUGUCAGCUAGUGACCAGUACGGGCCCAGACCUGAAGAUGUCCCUCUGCUCAUUCUGUCCUUUUCUGAAGCUAGUUAAGGAGGGAAACGUUGCGGAACGUAGCAGAUGUCCAUCUUUCAACGAUGUGCCCUACCGCACGUGACCGUAUCCACAUGUCAUUGUUUACAUUCGAGUUUUGUUCAGGUCUUCCUCUUUGAUCCAUCCAUUCUAUCCUCGUUGACCAGGAAGGAAUGUUUAGAGCCAAUCACGUCUUAGGGGGGCGUGCCCAUGCAAAGGCUCUUAAGUCUUUCUUUACAAAAUUCAGGCCCUGGUGCUGGAGUUUACAUUGCAAAUGUGAUUCAUUAGGGUUUUAGUUUUCUGUAGUCUGCUCUUCCCCACUCAAAUUACAUUACUAAGAUUAUCGACACAUGGGUUCAUUCAUUCCUGAUCCAAAUAUUCACAAUAUUUGAUUGUACGUGGAUAGCUGUCCAAAGUGUAUCAUUGUUUAAUCGUUCAGUUCAUUCUGUUGCCAAUCAGUUUUACUUACAUAUGCAUCCUUAGCCCCGCCAUCUUGCCAAGACAUUGUUUUGACAAAGUAAAGGAAAAUUGUGGUUUUAGUGAAUUUAAGGUUCAGCAGACGUUCCUCCCACAAGACUGUGUACAACCUAAUUUAUUGCAAAAAGCACUGGGGUUUGGAAAAAAAGAACUUGCUUGCAACGUCCAAUCAAAAUGUGAAAAAUAUAUGGGGUUGUUUAAAAGCCCAGUGCUGCUUUUUACGGUCAUUUGUAUUGUUUGUUCUUUUUUUUUCCUUCUGUAUGUUGCGUUGUACAGGCUGUUACACAACAUGAAAUCAUAUCUUCCUGAUUUGUAAAAAAAAUAUAUAUAUACCGACAGACAGUAUGCACAGUA